rnacentral:rRNA from 1 species
UACGGAGGAUGCAAGCGUUAUCCGGAAUGAUUGGGCGUAAAGCGUCCGCAGGUGGCUGUGUAAGUCUGCUGUCAAAGAGCGAAGCUCAACUUCGUAAAGGCAGUGGAAACUACACGGCUAGAGUGCGUUCGGGGCAGAGGGAAUCCCUGGUGUAGCGGUGAAAUGCGUAGAGAUCAGGAAGAACACCGGUGGCGAAGGCGCUCUGCUAGGCCGCAACUGACACUGAGGGACGAAAGCGUGGGGAGCAAACAGG